ncrna:unclassified sequences eL15-Euryarchaeota ribosomal protein leader
CGGGGCCCGCCCCGGUGGGAUGUGGCCCGCGAGGGCUGAACCGUAAA